CCUACGGGGGGCAGCAGUGAGGAAUAUUGGUCAAUGGACGAGAGUCUGAACCAGCCAAGUAGCGUGAAGGAUGACUGCCCUAUGGGUUGUAAACUUCUUUUAUAUGGGAAUAAAAUGUUCCACGUGUGGGAUUUUGUAUGUACCAUAUGAAUAAGGAUCGGCUAACUCCGUGCCAGCAGCCGCGGUAAUACGGAGGAUCCGAGCGUUAUCCGGAUUUAUUGGGUUUAAAGGGAGCGUAGGUGGAUUGUUAAGUCAGUUGUGAAAGUUUGCGGCUCAACCGUAAAAUUGCAGUUGAAACUGGCAGUCUUGAGUACAGUAGAGGUGGGCGGAAUUCGUGGUGUAGCGGUGAAAUGCUUAGAUGUCACGAAGAACUCCGAUUGCGAAGGCAGUUCACUGGACUGCAACUGACACUGAGGCUCGAAAGUGUGGGUAUCAAACAGGAUUAGAUACCCGUGUAGUC
rnacentral:rRNA from 1 species